rnacentral:pre_miRNA from 7 species
CACUCACAUAGAGGUGUAAGACCCCCUUUCGGGGACCCCCACUCUAGCCUCGGGAGAGAGAGAGAACCCAAAGAAACAUGAGAAUCC